rnacentral:rRNA from 1 species
AUUGAACGCUGGCGGCAGGCUUAACACAUGCAAGUCGAACGGAGUGGCGAGUGGGUGAGUAACACGUGGGUGACCUGCCCUGCACUUCGGGAUAAGCCUGGGAAACUGGGUCUAAUACCGGAGAGUGUGGGAUGGGCCCGGGGCCGAUCGGCUUGUUGGGGGGGUGAUGGCCUACCAAGGCGGCGACGGGUAGCCGGCCUGGGAGGGGGGACGGCCACCAUGGGACUGAGACACGGACCAGAGUCCUACGGGAGGCAGCAGGGGGGAAUAUUGCACAAUGGGCGGAAGCCUGAGGCAGCGACGCUGCGGGGGGGAUGACGGCCUUCGGGUUGUAAACUCCUUUCACCAUCGACGCGGUAGAUGGAGAAGAAGCACCGGCUAACUACGUGCCAGCCGCCGCGGUAAUUC